CACUGACAUUAUACCUCUGAUUUUUGGAUUAUGAGUCCAAAUAUUCACUUUUCAAGUGAAACAAACUACUUGAAUUACAUACUUUUAUUUGACCAAUAAUUUAUCUAUCCAUACUCUUUGACAAAUUUGUAUCCAAGAUCCUUGAUACUAUUUAUAAUGCUGAGCGCUAUAGUAUAUCAAAGAUAUCAUCGACGAUUGUUUGAUAUCGAUUCCAAUAAGACAUAACUUAAUGAAGAUCUCUUCAUAUUCAUUACUUAUUCAGGUACCUGAACCUUUGCCAAGAUUUUAUGAAGUGUUAUGUCGGUGCUAAAGUACUUGCCUCAUUAUCAUGACUUUCUUGAUCAUUUGCUCCUUUCCUUCUUUGAGGAGUUUUAUCUUUGGAACCAAUUGGUCUAUCACGCUUUAGGCAUGCCAUAGAAUCUGUCCUUUUAUGGACUUUUCAUUGAAGCAUUUUACUGUUGAAUUAUCACAUAGAGUUAGCAAACAUAUCUGACAAAUAGUUUGCAACAUUUUGCAAAUGAAUUAUCUCUUGAACUUCAA
rnacentral:lncRNA from 1 species